CCUGGCUUGAGAUAUAGCCCGGGCGGCGCUGGAGGCCGCCGGCAGUUGCCCAUUCUUGCCUACUGACCCAGUUGCCUCGGCGGGCCGCUGGGACCUCAAGGUCCCGGCGGCUACGGCCCGUGCCCGCCGCAGGACCGUCUAAAACUCAUUAUAUAUUGGCCAUCUGAGCAUUUAAAGCAAAUCAGUUAAAACUUUCAACAACGGAUCUCUUGGUUCCAGCAUCGAUGAAGAACGCAGCGAAAUGCGAUAAGUAAUGUGAAUUGCAGAAUUCCGUGAAUCAUCGAAUCUUUGAACGCACAUUGCGCCCCCUGGUAUUCCGGGGGGCAUGCCUGUUCGAGCGUCAUUGCAACCCUCAAGCCCGGCUUGUGUGAUGGACGAUCGUCCCACCCCUAGGGGCGGGACGCGCCCGAAAAGCAGUGGCCAGGCCGCGAUUCCGGCGUCUGAGCGAAUGGGACUUCCACCGCUUCUAGAACCGGCCGCCCUGGGCCUUUAACUAGCGUCCUAACGGACCCUCUAAGGUUGACCUCGGAUCAGGUAGGGAUACCCGCUGAACUUAAGCAUAUCAAUAAGCGGAGGAAAAGAAACCAACAGGGAUUGCCCCAGUAACGGCGAGUGAAGCGGCAAAAGCUCAAAUUUGAAAUCUGGCUCCUUCGGGGCCCGAGUUGUAAUUUGUAGAGGAUGCUUCGGGUGUGGCCACGGCCUAAGUUCCUUGGAACAGGACGUCAUAGAGGGUGAGAAUCCCGUCUUGGGUGGUUGGCCCACGCCCGUGUGAAGCUCCUUCGACGAGUCGAGUUGUUUGGGAAUGCAGCUCUAAGCGGGUGGUAAAUUUCAUCUAAAGCUAAAUAUUGGCUGGAGACCGAUAGCGCACAAGUAGAGUGAUCGAAAGGUUAAAAGCACCUUGAAAAGGGAGUUAAACAGCACGUGAAAUUGUUGAAAGGGAAGCGCUUGCGGCCAGACUCGGGCGCGAGGUUCAGCGGGUGCGUGUCACCCGUGCACUCCUCGCCGCCCGGGCCAGCAUCAGUUCUAGCGGCUGGUCAAAGGCCCCCGGAAUGUGUCGUCUCUCGGGACGUCUUAUAGCCGGGGGUGCAAUGCAGCCCGCCGGGACUGAGGAACGCGCUUCGGCUCGGAUGCUGGCGUAAUGGCCGUAAGCGGCCCGUCUUGAAACACGGACCAAGGAGUCUAACAUCCACGCGAGUGUUCGGGUGUCAAACCCGUGCGCGCAGUGAAAGCGAACGGAGGUGGGAGCCUUAGGGCGCACCAUCGACCGAUCCUGAAGUCUUCGGAUGGAUUUGAGUAGGAGCGUGGCCGUUGGGACCCGAAAGAUGGUGAACUAUGCCUGAAUAGGGUGAAGCCAGAGGAAACUCUGGUGGAGGCUCGCAGCGGUUCUGACGUGCAAAUCGAUCGUCAAAUUUGGGCAUAGGGGCGAAAGACUAAUCGAACCAUCUAGUAGCUGGUUCCUGCCGAAGUUUCCCUCAGGAUAGCAGUAACGAAAUUCCAGUUUUAUGAGGUAAAGCGAAUGAUUAGAGGCCUUGGGGUUGAAACAACCUUAACCUAUUCUCAAACUUUAAAUAUGUAAGAAGCCCUUGUUUCUUAAGUGAACGUGGGCACUAGAA
rnacentral:misc_RNA from 1 species